CACAGAAUGGAAAAGACUGAGGGCCC
rnacentral:piRNA from 1 species